rnacentral:rRNA from 1 species
AGUGAACGCUGGCGGUAGGCCUAACACAUGCAAGUCGAACGGCAGCACAGUAAGAGCUUGCUCUUACGGGUGGCGAGUGGCGGACGGGUGAGGAAUACAUCGGAAUCUACUUUUUCGUGGGGGAGAACGUAGGGAAACUUACGCUAAUACCGCAUACGACCUACGGGUGAAAGCAGGUGAUCUUCGGACCUUGCGCGAUUGAAUGAGCCGAUGUCGGAUUAGCUAGUUGGCGGGGUAAAGGCCCACCAAGGCGACGAUCCGUAGCUGGUCUGAGAGGAUGAUCAGCCACACUGGAACUGAGACACGGUCCAGACUCCUACGGGAGGCAGCAGUGGGGAAUAUUGGACAAUGGGCGCAAGCCUGAUCCAGCCAUACCGCGUGGGUGAAGAAGGCCUUCGGGUUGUAAAGCCCUUUUGUUGGGAAAGAAAAGCAGCAGGUUAAUACCCCGCUGUUCUGACGGUACCCAAAGAAUAAGCACCGGCUAACUUCGUG